rnacentral:rRNA from 1 species
GACGAACGCUGGCGGCGUGCUUAACACAUGCAAGUCGAACGGAAAGGCCCUGCUUUUGUGGGGUGCUCGAGUGGCGAACGGGUGAGUAACACGUGAGUAACCUGCCCUUGACUUUGGGAUAACUUCAGGAAACUGGGGCUAAUACCUGAUAGGAGCUCCUGCUGCAUGGUGGGGGUUGGAAAGUUUCGGCGGUUGGGGAUGGACUCGCGGCUUAUCAGCUUGUUGGUGGGGUAGUGGCUUACCAAGGCUUUGACGGGUAGCCGGCCUGAGAGGGUGACCGGCCACAUUGGGACUGAGAUACGGCCCAGACUCCUACGGGAGGCAACAGUGGGGAAUAUUGCACAAUGGGCGGAAGCCUGAUGCAGCAACGCCGCGUGCGGGAUGACGGCCUUCGGGUUGUAAACCGCUUUCGCCUGUGACGAAGCGUGAGUGACGGUAAUGGGUAAAGAAGCACCGGCUAACUACGU